ACAAACGAAACCAUCGAUUCAUAGAAACGUAGGGCACUGUCAUGUGACUCGUCAUGCACAACGGGAGCAUCCAAAAUGUUUGAUUGGACAGCAACCACAAAAAUAUUAUAGCUGCGUCACUCCAAGUUAGCCCCUCGCACUUUUCAGAUUUGUAGCUUUUUAUUUUCCUGCAUCUUCAUUUCUUCCACAAUAUCUUCAUUUUCACUAUCAGAUUCAACAACUUCAAAAAUAGAGAGCAUUCCGCAGCCAUACUUCCCAUCCUCUCUUAUCUUUGUCACUCUGCAAGCCUAUCCUUAAAUGAAGAAAGGUAAACAUGUAACAAAUCUGCUCACAGAGGUUAACUUGCAGAAUGUUUAUAUGGUGGUCAUGGUGCUUUGCCGAUCAUUAAUUUUCAAUCAAAUAUUAGUACAUAAGUAUGUAUUCAUACCGAAUUGCAAGAUUAGCACCGAGCAAAUGACUUAGCUGAGUAAACACCUUCAGGUUUCCCGUGGCAUAGUGAUUGGCAUACCAAUUAGAAAAGAAUGCAAAGAGAGAACUCGUCCACAAGUAAAAAGUUGAGAAAAAUGCAAAUGUCAGAUGCAUAACUUAAAAAAAAAGUAUAUAUUUUUAUAAUCCAAAAAAUCAAGAGGAAAGAAUGCAAAGCAACCGUUUACCUGUUGUUCCACUGAAUAUUAGUAAGCUCCCUUGGGUUUUGUCAGAGAAACAUGAAGGAAGAGGAGAAGAAAAUGCAUGUAGCAAGGAGAACGAAAAAUUGGUGCCCAGAGGGCUGACAACAGGUCAUAACCACUCGCAUCACCUGCAUUGGCCUUUCGUGAUCCUGCCUGUGCUAUGUGCAUGCCAUUUUCUGCCAUCUUAAGCCCCUGCAGCUCUAUCAUGGACUGCAACUCUAUCAUGGACGACACGAGUCCGGGACACCAUCAUCAGCUCAUCCCCCGAUCGAGGUGUGCGAUAUACUUGAUGUAUGAUCCAAGCAUCAGCCCGCACGGAGCUCCACCACCCGCCCCUUGGCCAACUCGACACCCCAGGAAUUCCACAAACCUAAGUGCCCCAUUUGGAGCUUCUUCUGCAUUAUCUGUGGGUUUUCAAUAGCCAUAUAUGUGGUCAGUGUACACACACGAGAAACAACAAUUUGCUUGACGUGGUUACAUUCUUUUGCAGCAAACAACAAUCAAUUCGCCAACAUUACGUGGUGAAGUAUAAUUUCCACACAUUGCAGCCAAAUAAAUAGAUUCUCUCCGGGAUUCUUUUUGCCGCAAAAGUGAGUGGGUUAAAAUCACACGGACAUAUACGUCCCAAUUGGACCAAAUCACGGGUUUGCAAAAAAAAAUUGGCGAACACUUAGCACACCCCUGUCUUACCAGGAAUUGACAUGAAAUUGCACUGGAAAAUUGGGCUAGUAUUGGCAUGUCAAAUAGUUGGGCCUAAUCCAAGCAUUCUAUGAAUCAAAGGAGCAAGAUAGCAGGUGGUCAGUUCAACAUUCUAUGAAUUAAAAGGACAAGAGCUCACGUUGAUAAGAAGAACUGCACAAAUGUUUCCUUCUUCAGGUUCUCCUCAUGUUCAUCGUCUUCUGUGGCAUAGUCAUCCUACACACGUUCAGACUUUCCACGCAUCUCUGAACCAAAAGAAGCAGUUAACACACAACCAAACACACAUGCAGACGGAUGACAUUACCGAACACAUUCAUAAUCUGGACCAAUUAAAUUGAUGUAUGGAAAAUUAAACAACAUGUUUACCUCUCACCGAUCUUGUAUGUCUCCCAGUCUCCUGCCCAGCGCCAUCCAAUCUCAACCCGAUGGCGGCGGUGCGGGCCUCUGGACCGCCAUGGUCGGUCAAGUCCUGGGGCUUCUCAUUUCUCCAGCGACGGGGUGUACGGGUGCGGACACAGACACGGGACACCAAUCUUGGAUCAAAGGAGGAGUCGAACUGCGGCAUAGCUGUUGUCGGGAAGAAGCCUUGAAGGCAGGUGCAUGCAGACGUCUUCACCAUGGAAGACGGGUGCACGGGAGGGGGAGGGGACGGCGAGCAAAAGAUUUGGUUGCCUGAGUGCAGGCAGUGGUCAGCGGCGGUGACGAAGACCAUGUGGGGGCGCGGCGGACAUAUGGAUUGAAGGGAGAGAAAGGGGAGGGGCGGAAGACGCAAGUGCUAGAGGUGCCCUUGCGGCGGAUGGUUUGGGAGAGGGGAGGGGAGAUCGUGGCUUGGUGGGUGAAUCGGGAGCGAGGGACAUGCGAGAGGAUCGUGGCUGUUUCUUUUUCUUUUUUACCGUGUGGAAGAAGUGCGAGACGUGAGGGAAGGGAGAUCGAACGAAGCGAGGUGAGAUUUUUUUGCUGUAUCGAUCUCGUAUGGGGGAGGAAGGAGGUCGAACCAUCACGACGACUGCACAUCCCUCUUUAAUAAUAGAGAUGAUAAGGAAACAAAUAAACCGUUAUUUCUUAUGUAACUUUAGAAGAUCUUGAUUGGAUGUUUCGAAUAACUGAACAAGGAGAAACUAUUUUUGGCUUACUUUCAUGUGGUUUCGUAGCGUAGCACGGGCAUUUUAUUAGUACCUACUAAUAAAGCAAGGUAAUAUUUUUGAUUUCGUCCCGCGUCUGAUCUUAUAUUACGUGAAAUAUAUGAGGUGGUACUAAUUCGUACAACCAAGUUUCAUUAAAAAAAGUGAGGAGGAUUCGGACUCGCAACCUUUAGGUUAGUACAGACUGUCAUGGCCAACUGAGCUAUGGCAAAGGUGAUACCAAUAUUAAAAAUUGUCCCACACACAAUAUACAUCUUAUAUACGCAACUUAUAUACAUAUACAAUAUACGCAACUUAUAUACGUCUUUCGGUUCCCACGUUAUCAGGAAGAGGUCUUGGGGAUUAUGACAGAGAAGAGAAACGUGGAAGGAAUAAAGGCUUAAGGAAGGAAAAGAGAAACGUGGAAGCCAUAAAGGCUAAGGAAGGAAAGAGUGGCAACUUAACAUUCUACGUAUAUGGGCUGCUAUUAAACCCAUGAGGCCAGAAAAUCUAACAGAGAUGAAAGACCUUUUCCGUAAAUUCUUAGCCCGAGGUGUCCGAUCGGUAAGAAAGAGUCAAACCACGCGUGAAGUCGGCAUGCAUGUACGUGGAACAAGAUAAAACAGGACUAGAAAUCCACCCAGGAAAUAAUAAAAGGACAAAACACGUGAAGUGCAAAUCCUGAGUGAUUCAAGUUAUGCAAUUCUAGCUCGUUCAAAAAAAAAAAGUUAUGCAAUUCUAGUGCCGCGUACAUAGACAUACCGUACGUGACAAAUGGCGUGCAUACACAUAGCCUAUACAUGUUGGACUUGGUCUUACCUGUCUCCAUCGACCGGCUCGCACCGAGUCAACUUUUCCCCGAGGACGUGAUGUGCUGUGGACAACUAUUUUCCUAUCUUUUUUCCCGAGAUUUAUGCAUGGGCAGGUGCAGUAAAAGAGCGAAACGCUGAGCUGGUCGUUGAAUGCAUGCGAUUUGGUCGUUUGAAGAGUAAGAGCAUCUCCGAAUCUAAAAAACUGGUGUCUUGAAGGGUCGAAAACUUCAACCGACGAUAAAAAAGAUGUAUCUUUCCAACCAUACCCCCAUCUCAAUCAAAAAUUUAUGAAGGUAAUGAAAAAGUGGACCUAAAAAAGGACACAUGAAAAGACGUGGAUUGCGACGCCCCCAAAAGCCCGAAGCGCGUCGGGUUCUGCCCGGGUACGCAGGCGCUAUUUUGACGUCCUGGGGACGCUGAGGGCAUGGCCGGGCCGUUUUUCGGUCAAAAAACGCCCCCAAGCCUAACACCGAGCCUAAAAAGGUGUCCUUAGGGGCAUCCUGGGAGCUGAAGUUGCUCUAAGCAAACAUGAGUAGACCGAUCUAUGUUUCCAUCCUGCCCAAGUAUCUGAAUAGACUGAUCAUCGCCUCGUGGCACCUCGUCCCUCUGGCCAACGUCUUAAGUUUGAUUCCCGGCAUCUACUUUGAAGACAUCGAAAUCAAAACUGCCUGGCCUCGCCUAUAUAAGUUUUAAGCAGCUCAUCACUAACGGGCACGCAAUCGCAGAUACCCCCAGAUAGAUAGGCAGGCGCACAAACAAUCGUAGUGGUACAAGUUAUUGACGAGAUGGACGCUGGCGGCGAUGCUACCAAGGGCAAGGAGCACCUUGUCCUAGUGCACGGUGCCGGCCACGGCGCCUGGUGCUGGUUCAGGCUCCUGGCCCUGCUCCGGGGCUCCGGCCACCGCGUCUCCUGUGUUGACCUUGCCGGGGCAGCAGGCAGCCGCGUCGACCCCGACUCUGUCCGGUCGUUCGACGAGUACACCGGGCCGCUCGUCGACCUCCUGUCCGCGCUGCCGGAGGGCGAAAAGGUGACGACAGUAACCGUGUACCCACACGCCCACACCCCUGCUUGCAAUUGGAUGCUUGCAUGCAUGGACUAGUUUUUUUUUUUUUUGGUUACUGCACUACUCUUUCAGUCUCAGGAUAACAAAAUAUAGCUCUAAACUAAAUUCUUUUACUGCAUAUUUUUGGGAAUCAUGAUAGAUGAAAAAAAUGUGGUUUUGUGGGAUAAAAGUGUAUAACAUACUGAGAAUCAAAGAAAAUUACUCAUAAUAACAAGGAAAUCUCGUGUUACUGAUUGAUACUAGCACAACAACAAACUAACGGCGGCAUAUUUCCUUCAGGUGAUUUUGGUUGGGCAUAGCGCAGGAGGGCUAAGUGUGACCCAUGCAAUGCAUUUAUUCAGCGACAGGAUUAAGCAGGCAAUCUUCAUAGCAGCAACCAUGCUCCCAUUUGGCUACCAAACGGAACAAGACAUCAAAGAUGUGACUGCUUGAACUCUCUUAUCAUACGCUCAAUUAAACUCUUAUUAUGUCCGGUCACAAUAGCAGCUACCAUUAGUUCUUGCUUUUAAAGACUUUCAGCUGAAAUUUAACAGGGCGUACCUGAUUUAUCCGAGCUUGGGG
rnacentral:lncRNA from 1 species